rnacentral:lncRNA from 1 species
CUAAUGCAUGAGGUUGAAAGAGGACAUCCAGCAGGAGACUACAAGACAAGAUUUCUGUCAAAGAAAGAGAGCAAGGAUAAUUCCAUACUUCUAAAGGAGUCUGACAAACAUGGUUCUGCAUGAUGCAGGCAUUCUGAAGUAGACAGAGAAUUUUAAAGUGGCUAUGAAAGGGAAGCAAGACCAAGAACACAAAGACACCUUUGAUUCAACAAUGAGGGAGAAAAAGAAAGAUUAAGUCACAACUGGAGAUGACUGAGAAAUUAUCAGAGGUAUGGUCUAAACAGAAGAAGGCUGUAGAGGAAGCCAUUUUGUGGGACAGGUACUACUCUGUGUUCUCCAGCAUCUUGGCGCC